GACGAACGCUGGCGGCGUGCCUAAUACAUGCAAGUAGAACGCACAGUUUAUACCGUAGCUUGCUACACCAUAAACUGUGAGUUGCGAACGGGUGAGUAACGCGUAGGUAACCUGCCUGGUAGCGGGGGAUAACUAUUGGAAACGAUAGCUAAUACCGCAUAAUAUUGAUUAUUGCAUGAUAAUUGAUUGAAAGAUGCUAUUGCAUCACUACCAGAUGGACCUGCGUUGUAUUAGCUAGUAGGUGAGGUAACGGCUCACCUAGGCGACGAUACAUAGCCGACCUGAGAGGGUGAUCGGCCACACUGGGACUGAGACACGGCCCAGACUCCUACGGGAGGCAGCAGUAGGGAAUCUUCGGCAAUGGACGAAAGUCUGACCGAGCAACGCCGCGUGAGUGAAGAAGGUUGUCGGAUCGUAAAGCUCGGUUGUAAGAGAAGAACGGGUGUGAGAGUGGAAAGUUCACACUGUGACGGUAUCUGACCAGAAAGGGACGGCUAACUACGUG
rnacentral:rRNA from 1 species